CGGAUAGCUCAGUUGGUAGAGCAGGGGACUGAAAAUCCCCGUGCCGAGGGUUCAAGUCCCCCUCCGA
rnacentral:tRNA from 2 species